CUGGCUCAGGAUUAACGCUGGCGGCGUGCCUAAUACAUGCAAGUCGAAUGGUAGCAAUACCAUGGCGAACGGGUGAGUAACACGUAGGUAACCUGUCUUUAAGACGAGGAUAACCGUUGGAAACGACGGAUAAUACUCGAUAGGUGAUUUGAGGGCAUCCUUGGAUCAUUAAAGAUUUAUCACUUAGAGAGGGGCCUGCGGCGCAUUAGCUAGAUGGCGGUGUAAUGGACCACCGUGGCGAUGAUGCGUAGCCGGACUGAGAGGUUGAACGGCCACAAUGGAACUGAGAACGGUCCAUACUCCUACGGGAGGCAGCAGUAGGGAAUUUUCGGCAAUGGGCGAAAAAGCCUGACCGAGCAACGCCGCGUGAACGAAGAAGUAUUUCGGUAUGUAAAGUUCUUUUAUCGGGGAAGAAAAUGACGGUACCUGACUAAGAAGCCCCGGCUAACUACGUGCCAGCAGCAGC
rnacentral:rRNA from 1 species